AUGAACGUGUCAUAUCUACCCCGAAUAAGCAGCAUGUUCUUUCUGGUCAUAUUCCUUGCUACCAUUGAUCUCAGCGUUCAGCAGCUGCAAAGUCUGAAGGACACAGAAUCUGCGCCUCUUGGUGGGACGGUCACCAUAUCUUGCAGAUUCUCUACUGGAGUCAUCGCCAAUGGCAAUUACCCUUUGUGGGCCCAGAAACUUCCAGGCAAACCACCCCGGCUCUUGGUUUACCAGACCAGUGUCAAACCUUCUGAUAUUCCAGCCAGGUUCUCUGGGUCCAAGUCGGGGAAUGUCAUGUCCCUGACCAUCACAGGGGCCUUGGCUGAAGAUGAAGCCAUCUAUUACUGCUGUUUGAACCCAGGGGGCCUGUGA